rnacentral:rRNA from 1 species
GAAAAUGAGAGUUUGAUCCUGGCUCAGGACGAACGCUGGCGGCGUGCCUAAUACAUGCAAGUCGAGCGAGCUUGCCUAGAUGAUUUUAGUGCUUGCACUAAAUGAAACUAGAUACAAGCGAGCGGCG